AUACUCUAAUUCUAUUUCUAUUCAUAUGUAACUUUGGCCUUUUAGUAAAGAUGUCCGAUAGACAGAUACUUAACGAGUUUCAACUUUGUUUUGUGAAACUUCAUGCCAGUGAAACU
rnacentral:snRNA from 1 species